rnacentral:rRNA from 1 species
CCUACGGGAGGCAGCAGUGGGGAAUAUUGCACAAUGGGGGAAACCCUGAUGCAGCCAUGCCGCGUGUGUGAAGAAGGCCUUCGGGUUGUAAAGCACUUUCGUGUAGGGAGGAAAGGGUGUAACCUAAUACGUUAUAUCUGUGACGUUAC